rnacentral:rRNA from 1 species
GAUGAACGCUGGCGGCGUGCUUAACACAUGCAAGUCGAACGAAGCACUUUAUUUGAUUUCCUUCGGGACUGAUUAUUUUGUGACUGAGUGGCGGACGGGUGAGUAACACGUGGGUAACCUGCCUUGUACAGGGGGAUAACAGUUGGAAACGGCUGCUAAUAUAGAAUAAGCGGAUAGAAUUGUAUGAGGUAGGGUGAAUAACUCCGUUGGUAUAAGAUGGAGUCGGGUUGGAUUAGUGAGUUGGUGAGGUAACGGCCCACCAAGGCGACGAUGCAUCGCCGACCUGAGAGGGUGACCGGCCACAUUGGGACUGAGACACGGCCCAAACUCCUACACACAAGCUCAAUAUAUAAUAUUACACCAUAAACGAAAGCCUGAUGCACCGACGCCGCGUGAGCGAAGAAGUAUUUCGGGAUAUAAAUCUCUAUCAUCACAGACUAUAAUAACUUUCCCUCAAUAACAAGCACCGGCUAAAUACAUG